UACGGAGGGAGCUAGCGUUAUUCGGAAUUACUGGGCGUAAAGCGCACGUAGGCGGCUUUGUAAGUAAGAGGUGAAAGCCCGGAGCUCAACUCCGGAACUGCCUUUUAGACUGCAUCGCUUGAAUCCAGGAGAGGUGAGUGGAAUUCCCGGUGUAGUGGUGAAAUGCGUAGAUAUCGGGAGGAACACCAGUGGCGAAGGCGACUACCUGGCCUGUUCUUGACGCUGAGGCGCGAAAGCUAGGGGAGCAAACGGG
rnacentral:rRNA from 1 species